GUCUACGGCUAUACCACCCUGAACGUGCCCAAUCUCGUCUGAUCUCAGAAGCUAAGCAGGGUCAGGCCUGGUUAGUACUUGGAAGGGAGACAACUGAAAUAACCAAAAAUUGUCC
rnacentral:rRNA from 1 species